rnacentral:rRNA from 1 species
GACGAACACUGGCGGCGCGCCUAACACAUGCAAGUCGAACGAGCGAGAGAGAGCUUGCUUUCUUGAGCGAGUGGCGAACGGGUGAGUAACGCGUGAGGAACCUGCCUCAAAGAGGGGGACAACAGUUGGAAACGACUGCUAAUACCGCAUAAGCCCACGGUGCCGCAUGGCACAGAGGGAAGAGGAGCAAUCCGCUUUGAGAUGGCCUCGCGUCCGAUUAGCUAGUUGGUGAGGUAACGGCCCACCAAGGCGACGAUCGGUAGCCGGACUGAGAGGUUGAACGGCCACAUUGGGACUGAGACACGGCCCAGACUCCUACGGGAGGCAGCAGUGGGGAAUAUUGCACAAUGGGGGAAACCCUGAUGCAGCGACGCCGCGUGGAGGAAGAAGGUCUUCGGAUUGUAAACUCCUGUUGUUGGGGAAGAUAAUGACGGUACCCAACAAGGAAGUGACGGCUAACUACGUG